AACAUUCUCCUGCUGACACGUAAG
rnacentral:siRNA from 1 species